GAAUGGCCUACUCCUGCACCUAAUUUCUAUGUUUCUAUGAUGUAUCUUGAUCCAAGAGAUAAAUUUUGGACCAAUCUUAAAUUUUUCAAGUGUAUUGAAUAAGUAUUACCAUACUACUCUAUCAAACGCUUUCUCGGCAUCGAGUGAGAUGACACAUUCUGGGGUUUUAUUAGAUGCUGUAUAUACAAUAUUCAUUAAUCUCCUAACAUUAAAGUACGAGUAACGAUUUUUAAUAAAACCUGUCUGAUCUUCAGAGAUAAU